AGGCCAAGGGCUAGCCUGGUGCAGUGGUUUGAGUCCUGCACUACUGACUUCAUCACAAACAAGAUCUUGUCUGUUUCCACACACUUAAUAUGAAGCAACAUGGAUCUCAUCAUAUGAUGCAAGAAUGCUGACAUUUGUCCACCUGUCUUCUCAAGAGAUUUGCAAGAUUUUUUUAAGGGACAUCACAGAAGAUCACUUCACCUAGCAACAGCCUUUGUGGGACAAAUGGACACACAGACAAACAGACAUGUAUGCACUGAUUUUUAUUUAGAGAAAUAUUUGUAAUUAUUUUUUGCAUGAAACAUUACACUGAACCAUAACAAAGCAAAGGCAUCACAAUUUCAACCACCCAUGUAGAUAAUUUUGGAUUUGCAUAUAUUUCAGAAUACU